AAUUCAGAUAAUUAUUACAUGAGUUCUUAGAGGAAUAGAAGAGAACGAAGCUUUUUUUUUUUUAAUGCAAAAGGGCAUUUUUUAUUUGUUGUUUACCUGAAGCACUCAAUGUGUCUUUGUCAUGAUUAAUUUUUAAGACCUGUAUCAUGUUUUAAAAUUACAACACAGUCCAGUUUUAAGCCUAUGAUGUCUCAAAAUUGAAGAGAAAAAAAUAACCUAUGAAAUUCUUCUGAUAUCUUUAUAUACAAGUUCAAGAAUAAUUAAGUAUCUGUCACUCUCUCUUCUCCAGCAUCAAUUACUCUGCUCUGGAUUUACUUACUCCACUCCGUAUAAUGAGCCCCCAGAGCACAUUUCAUUGCAGGGGAAAGCACACAUUCUUCACUUGAGGAGCUUUUGUUCUCUGAGCGCUUUCCGUAGAGUUCUGGAGGACAGGAAUACAAAUGGCGGCCUCCUGGUCUCCACCCGGAGGAGCCAAGAGCCCGGGACCCCACUCCUCAGUGCGCCCUCAGAGAACAGCGCCCAGUAACUCCCGUCUGCCUGACCUCCAGCCGCGCUCCGAGCUCGCUGAGCCUGUGGCUGGUUCAAGGUAACCCCGAGCUGCAAGCUUAUUGUUGGCUCUGUCUCUGUUGCUUUUCUGUUUCCAGAAUUGCUGUUCUCUUCUCUUUGAUAUGCCGAUGGAUUUUCAGGUGUUUGCAAUCUUUAGAUAAGCUAUCUAGCUGAUCUCCUGCUAGCUGAAGUAGUCUCAGCCUGCUACUUCUCCCUCAAUCUAGAAUUCUUAUUAUUUACAUUGUUCCUGUCAUUGUUCAUAUUGUAUCUUUUGAAAUCCUAUUUGCAAAGAGCUUUAAAUGCCACAUCCUUCCUAAAUUUUUUUUUUUUUUUUUGCUUUCUCUCCGUUGGACAUAAUUAGCACAUUAGAUCACUUACCACUUUGUGUUGAGAAAUCCACUCUGUGCCUUUCUGUUGGGUGAUAUAUAACACUUCCUAUCCUGUAUAAUAGUUGUUUUUAACCUUGGCUUUUCUACUUUAUUGAGUUGUAAUCUCUUUGAGUACAAAGGACACGUACUAUUCCACUCUGUGCCCCUUUUAGCCACUGAUGAU
rnacentral:lncRNA from 1 species